rnacentral:rRNA from 1 species
UACGUAGGGUGCGAGCGUUAAUCGGAAUUAUCGGGCGUAAAGCGUGCGCAGGCGGUUUUGUAAGUCAGAUGUGAAAUCCCCGGGCUCAACCUGGGAACUGCGUUUGAAACUGCAAGGCUAGAGUAUGGGAGAGGGAGGUAGAAUUCCACGUGUAGCAGUGAAAUGCGUAGAGAUGUGGAGGAAUACCAAUGGCGAAGGCAGCCUCCUGGCGUAAUACUGACGCUCAUGCACGAAAGCGUGGGGAGCAAACAGG